AGAAAAGGCUAAUUAAGCUUCUAACUUAAUAUUUGAUAUAUAAUCACUUUUCUU
rnacentral:tRNA from 1 species